rnacentral:lncRNA from 1 species
AUGGCCAGAUAUUUGUUUUUGGUUCCUGGCUUCUCCCUGCCCUUUAGUCCUCUCGCUCCUGAAGCCUUUGAAGAGAUCAAAUGCCUCGCUGGUCAAGCUUGGAAACAACGCAUUCAAGAAAAUGCAAAGGGUUCGACAACCUAUGCUGGAGCUUAUGGAAACAAUGGGCCAGAUGCACUGCCUGUCCGUAGCUGCGUCAUCCCCUCGUCUCCUACCAGGGCGCAUAAGCCUCAUCCAACUGAAAUCUUUUUAAUAAACCAGCUUCAUCACCUACCUGGACCUUAUGGCAUUCCAAAACGCAGAGAAGCAGCUCACUUUGGGUUUUGUCCACGUGAAGUGAAGAAAUUUCAAGUGUCUCCAAACAAAGUUAAAUAUAAAGCAGCUGCUGUCGCAUCCCCGGUCACACCACUCGAUGUAAUUCAGCAAAGGAUAAAACAUGGCAAUUUAAAUGGUGAGCUCUCCUUAUUAGUUGGAUUGAAGUAUCUUCUCUUUUUCCAAUACAUACACACACUAAAAGGUUUUGAUUUUAUUUUCAUUUUUGCAGUUAUUGCAGGGAGCCAAAGUGGAGAGGGAAAAAAAUUAAUCUCAUCUUCCAGUGAGGAUAUGCUGACUGGCUGGCCUGUGAAAGAGAAUGAUCAUCCCAUUGUAAGUACAAGCUUUCACAGGUUACAAUCUGAGUGA